rnacentral:lncRNA from 1 species
ACCAACUUGAAUGAUUAAAAUCCAAACUUUUGUAAAUUAAGAAGAAGUAGAAAAUACAUAACCUCGUUCAACAGAAAAUGUUUAGGUGCAUGAGCUAUCCAUCCAAGGAUUGAAUACUUUUGAGUUCCAAAAGAGAGUACAAAAUUGAUUUUUGCAUCUCAUUUGCCUUCUCCUUUUCUCCUCUUGAAUUCUAAACUAUAAAUUACAAAACUUACUUGAAAAUGAAAACUCUAAACUAAGAAAUGAAGAAAGGACUUCAAAAUCAGAGAAUUCCUUCUUUCAAGUGUUUUUAAGAGGAUUUUAUGAUGAAAUGCUCAAUUACAAUCUGUUUUGCU